rnacentral:lncRNA from 1 species
AGAUGCACAGUACCAUGACCAGCUCUCGGCUCACAGUUUUGAAGAUGAGGCACAAAUUGUUUUUGUCGUUCUUUAUCCAAGGGGCAAGAAGUUCAUAAAGAUUGUUGCAGAAGUUGGAUUUGCAUCAAGCUUGGUUUUGGAACUCCGAAUCAUUCAGAGUGUGAAAAUUCUCCAGCAAGCCGGAGAUGCGACCCUGUCAGCACAGUGCUUGUUUGGCUUCCCCAAGUCCUCGGGUUCAAACCUCAGUGGUCCAUACACUUGAGUAAGGAAUGUGGACCCCAGGAGGACAAGAUGUUUGGUCUGUCUUCACUAAUCUAUCUUCAGAUCAGGCUCUGGCAUACACGAGGCCGCCAAUAAAAUUAAGUGAACCUGU